AGAGUUUGAUCCUGGCUCAGGAUGAACGCUGGCGGUAUGCUUAACACAUGCAAGUCGAACGGGCUCUUCGGAGUUAGUGGCGGACGGGUGAGUAACGCGUGAGAAUCUGGCUUCAGGUUCGGGACAACAGUUGGAAACGGCUGCUAAUACCGGAUGUGCCUUAUGGUGAAAGAUUUAUCACCUGAAGAUGAGCUCGCGUCUGAUUAGCUAGUAGGUGUGGUAAGAGCGCACCUAGGCGACGAUCAGUAGCUGGUCUGAGAGGAUGAUCAGCCACACUGGGACUGAGACACGGCCCAGACUCCUACGGGAGGCAGCAGUGGGGAAUUUUCCGCAAUGGGCGAAAGCCUGACGGAGCAAUACCGCGUGAGGGAGGAAGGCUCUUGGGUUGUAAACCUCUUUUCUCAGGGAAGAAUGAUGACGGUACCUGAGGAAUAAGCAUCGGCUAACUCCGUGCCAGCAGCCGCGGUAAUACGGAGGAUGCAAGCGUUAUCCGGAAUGAUUGGGCGUAAAGCGUCCGCAGGUGGCAAUGUAAGUCUGCUGUCAAAGCGUCUGGCUCAACCAGAUAAAGGCAGUGGAAACUACAUAGCUAGGGUAAGGUAGGGGUAGAGGGAAUUCCUGGUGUAGCGGUGAAAUGCGUAGAGAUCAGGAAGAACACCGGUGGCGAAAGCGCUCUGCUGGACCUUAACUGACACUGAGGGACGAAAGCUAGGGGAGCGAAUGGGAUUAGAUACCCCCAGUAGUCCUAGCCGUAAACGAUGGAUACUAGGCGUUGCCCGUAUCGACCCGGGCAGUGUCGUAGCUAACGCGUUAAGUAUCCCGCCUGGGGAGUACGCAGGCAACUGUGAAACUCAAAGGAAUUGACGGGGGCCCGCACAAGCGGUGGAGUAUGUGGUUUAAUUCGAUGCAACGCGAAGAACCUUACCAGGGCUUGACAUGUCCGGAAUCCUCUUGAAAGGGAGGAGUGCCUUCGGGAGCCGGAACACAGGUGGUGCAUGGCUGUCGUCAGCUCGUGUCGUGAGAUGUUGGGUUAAGUCCCGCAACGAGCGCAACCCUCGUUCUUAGUUGCCAUCAUUAAGUUGGGAACUCUAAGGAGACUGCCGGUGACAAACCGGAGGAAGGUGGGGAUGACGUCAAGUCAGCAUGCCCCUUACGCCCUGGGCUACACACGUACUACAAUGCUAUGGACAAAGGGCAGCAAGCCAGCGAUGGCAAGCAAAUCUCGUAAACCAUGGCUCAGUUCAGAUCGCAGGCUGCAACUCGCCUGCGUGAAGUCGGAAUCGCUAGUAAUUGCAGGUCAGCAUACUGCAGUGAAUUCGUUCCCGGGCCUUGUACACACCGCCCGUCACACCAUGGAAGCUGGUCACGCCCGAAGUCGUUACCCUAACCUUUCGAGGAGGGGGACGCCGAAGGUAGGACUGGUGACUGGGGUGAAGUCGUAACAAGGUAGCCGUACCGGAAGGUGUGGCUGGAUCACCUCCU
rnacentral:rRNA from 1 species